ensembl:lncRNA
CAGGGUGGAAAGCUGCAGCCACACUCACUGGACUGGACUGGAAUCAACUGGUCCUGUCUUUGUUUUAAAGUUUGAUAUUUUGUUCACCGUCGAUUUUUCUCAUUAGUACAGAUUUUAAAGUAUUUCAUUACACUACUAUGCAUCUUGAUUAUUGAAUUAGUGAAUCCCUUAAAUUUUGUGCCUGAGGCUCCUGACUGGCUUGCUUUCUUAUAAUCAAGUCUCUUAAUUCUCUGUGCCUCAGCCUCCUCUUCUGGAAAAUGGAAAUAAUAAUAUCACCUACCAGAUAGCCCUGUGCUGAGGGUGAAAUAUGUCAAAACAUGUUCUUCCUCUUUAUCUUCAGCAGCUCCUUGAAAUGAAUAAGCAGUCAGGGAAUGUUGGGCUUCCCAGGUAUGGUGCUAGUGAUAAAGAAUUCGCCAGCCAUGCAGGUGAUUCAAAGAGAUGCAGGUUUGAUCCCUGGGUGGGGAAGAUCCCCUGGAGAAGGAAAUGGCAACCUGCUCCAGUAUUCUUGCUGGGCUAAUCCCAUGGACAGUGGAGCCUAGCAGGCUAUAUAGUCCACGGGGUCACAAGAGUUGGACAGGACUGAGCACAGCACAGCAGUGGAUGUUACCCAUCAUUCUGGGUGUUGUUGAUGCUGUCGUUAGAAUGUUAAUCAUUCCAUCAGCCUGCAGAAAGACCCUACAGAUGAGAAGGUCUCUGUUGAGGGGGAAGAGGAUGAGCUGCAUGGAUAUGGGUCAGAUGAAGGAGCCCUGGAUUCCCAGCCGGGGUGCCUGGGGGCUUCUCCAGAGAUGGGGGCAAGCAUACAGGGGAGAGGCAGCCCCACUAGAGCUCCUGCAGAAAAUGCUGGCCAUGCAACUGCUCUCUGGAGACACCACGAGUUGCCUCUGCAGCUUUUCCUUUCGGGACUUGUUUAACAUUUCAAGCAAGAAUAAAAUAAAUAACUGCAGUGUUUAUGGAAACCUAAGACAGAAAUGAAGACGACUAAGGAGAAAGAGAAGUGGAAGCAGGCCAGGAGGGGGUUUGGAGGAUCCCCCUUUCCUUGGAGUUAGCAGUUUGGUGCUUCAAUUUGUCAGUCCUUCUUAACACACCCAUGCAUUGCUCCCCUAGCAACCCCUCCACUGAUACGCAUAGAUUCACAUGCAGACUCGUGGGCGGGGCAUGCAUGCCCACGCAUGCGUGCAUGCACACACACACACUUUGCUGGUCAAUGGACAAAGUGGGUCCUUCCAGAUCCCCAGGGACUUGGAGCAGCUUCCCUGUUCCCAACUCCAUAGUCCCUCCAUCCCUUGAGCGACCGGGGAGAGGAGAGAAGAUAUUUCUCAUUAAACCCAGGACCAUAAAUUUGUCAUGGUUCCAUCUUUUUUCUGGUUUGAGUCGUCUGUCUGCAAUUAACUAACUACAGGGGUAGACAGUCUAACGACCUCAAGGGCAGGAGAUGAUGUCGCUCCUCCAUCCUCACAUCCCCGGAGAGGGGUCUGCUCUGUACACAGCACAAGAAAUACUGGACACAAUCCUUCUCCUCAACUCACUCACGGAGAUGAACCACAGCCUUAGAGAUGCACAAAAAUGCUUACAAUACAAGGCUGACUCGGACACUGGGCUGCUCAGAGACCAUUUCGAGGAGAGCAUGGUGUUUACUGUCAAGUCUGAAAAAGGCAUAAACAAGAUGCAGAUGGCUCUGUUAUUAGCAAUGCAGGAAGACUUCAUGAUAUUCCAGCUUCAAUUCAGGUGUCCUCAGCUUUUAAACUCACUCUGAAGAAAGUGGACAUAUCUGCUCUUUUUGACAGUUCCUCCCAUUUUGGCUAUCAGUGAAG